rnacentral:lncRNA from 1 species
CGUUAAAUUCAUUAGGGUUAGACUUUACUGAUAAAGGUGUACUUUUGGACUUACUUUUCGUCAUAAUAAAGUAAUUCCAGCUUCGAUUCUGACCAACAGCCUGGUGAAGUCUGAGCUUCUUCGUUGCUGUCCAUUGUUCAACAUGGAUUUGACAUAAGCGGCAGGUUUAUCGUGUAAGUUCGCGUAGUUGCUGUCCGCUGUGGCUCGUUGUUGCAGCCUAUGCUGGCGAAAGAUCUUUCUACAACAAGUUCAAUUGGUCGUUCCUUGGUGUCGUGUUACCGGUCGGGUCAAAAAAUCAGUUAAUUUAUAAACCUACAAACAUAUCCUUACCAAAUAAUCAGCAAAUCCCACAAACUUAUACCUUCCAAUUCUUCAAACUCCACAAACAUACACCUACCAAACCCUAAAUUUAUGCCCUAAACCCCAUAAACCAAUGUUAAACCAUAACGAUGUAAUAUCUGUAAUAAAUAAAAAUAAACAUUACAUGAACUAA